rnacentral:rRNA from 1 species
GAAGAAUCCAGAGAUGGAUUUGUGCCUUCGGGAACUGUGAGACAGGUGCUGCAUGGCUGUCGUCAGCUCGUGUUGUGAAAUGUUGGGUUAAGUCCCGCAACGAGCGCAACCCUUAUCCUUUGUUGCCAGCGGUUAGGCCGGGAACUCAAAGGAGACUGCCAGUGAUAAACUGGAGGAAGGUGGGGAUGACGUCAAGUCAUCAUGGCCCUUACGACCAGGGCUACACACGUGCUACAAUGGCGCAUACAAAGAGAAGCGACCUCGCGAGAGCAAGCGGACCUCAUAAAGUGCGUCGUAGUCCGGAUUGGAGUCUGCAACUCGACUCCAUGAAGUCGGAAUCGCUAGUAAUCGUGGAUCAGAAUGCCACGGUGAAUACGUUCCCGGGCCUUGUACACACCGCCCGUCACACCAUGGGAGUGGGUUGCAAAAGAAGUAGGUAGCUUAACCUUCGGGAGGGCGCUUACCACUUUGUGAUUCAUGACUGGGGUGAAGUCGUAACAAGGUAACCGUAGGGGAACCUGCGGUUGGAUCACCUCCUUACCUGAAAGAA